GGAAAAGUGAGUACCGGCUAGUAUCGCGAGAUCAGGAAGGUGGCCGAGUGUGUCGCCGCGGCCAUCAGGCACUUCUCCUUCCUGCCCUUGUAUGAAGAAGGAUGUGUUUGCUUCCCCUUGUGCCAUGAUUGUAAAUUUCCUGAGGCCUCCUCAGCCCUGCAGAACUGGGGUUAUAGCCAUGUGACUGAUCUUCGUCCAAGAAUAUGUAAAGAAAAAGUGUUGAGUUGGCUUUUAGGGCUAGAGCAAUGUAUCUUAGGCUCACUUAAGGAAGCUGUAGAGAUGAGCCCAAGGAGGGAAACCAGAAGAGCCCCCCAGGCUCACCAGUUGUUUGUUGGCUCCCUACAAACAUGUCAUUCAAGUGGCUAAUCUUACAACAGCACAAAUUCAUCUAACCAGAAAGAGAAGAGGAGGCUCCAAAGGCACUUGACUACUGAGCAUCACCCUGGACGUGUACAAGUCUGCGUCCUUAUUGUUUUCUUCAUUGGGCCGAACUUUCUGGUCCUCAUCCAACAGCUCUUCUAUCACGUGUUCGAAAGUGUCAGCCAAUGAUGUCAAGCCUCUUGAACCUGCCUUGGGCCCAUUCACGCUCUCCAGAGUCCCAUGGGUCCGCACACCUGGAGAUACUCUAUUAUAGCAAAGAAGAAAGAUAAUUUCAUUGAGCCAUCCUGUUUUACAGCACCCAACAGAAUCCCUUCAAAGCCUCGUGGUCUGACACCCUAUGCUACGUGACUUGUGACCCAUCCAUUUGUCAUGUUCUUCGGGAAUGUGGCUAAGGGGCUAAGAUGUGACUUGAAAAGAAAGGUAGAACAAGAUCAUCUCAAAUUUAUUAUCAAGGAAUAGUUCAGAAAACGACUUCAGACCACAGAGACAGCAGAACAGAUGGUCCGGCAUGGAUAGAGCAUCAGACACUCACAGACUGUGCCAACAAGAGCCAUCGAGUCAAAACAGCCAAAGGAAGGAGGGUCAUGGAAUGGGUUCUCUCACACCAAACUGAUGCCCAGAGGCCCUCAGCAUGAAUAACAAAGGCAACCAGACCCACAAGCCAUACUGAGUGGAUACAAAACCUAUACCUAGGCUGACAUCCCAAAUGUGUGUGGCAAGUUAGAUGAUGAUGGCACAAAAGACAGAACACCUUGCUUCUGGCCAUUGUCAGCUCUUGGAAGAGAGCACACUUUUAGAGGAGCAGCUGCAAGGAGCCUGAGAACAAAACUGGAAAUGUCUGUUAUGAAAGCCUUCACAGGAAAUUCUGCAAGUGGCAACGUGGGUCCAUUCCGUGUGUGUCACUAGAGCUGGCGCAAGCCCAUGGCCAUGGUGAGGCAGCGUUUCCACUGGAACUAAUCUGAUACCUGCACCAGCUCUUGCAACUGUGCAGUGUUCCCACUGCAAACUACGGAUGGGGUAAAAGACUGCUCACCUCCUAUUUCUCAUCUAAUCUCACACACUCUGUUUGAUGAGGCUAUGGAGAAACAGGUCUUCUCAUACACUAAAGGUGGGAGUACAAACAAUUCAAGCCCUGUGCAGGACAAUUAGGCAAUACCUAUCAAAAUUAUACAUGAUUUUUCCUGCUGACCCAGCAAUUCCACUUCUGGGAAUAAUUGACAGAUAUAGGUGCAUAUGUACAAAAUGAUGGAAAGCUCUCUGGUAUAUAUUAGUAAGUGAUAAAACAAGGUGUAAAAUAGUGUAUAUAUGGCUACUACCUUUUGUUUUAAAAAUGGGGGAAAAUGGUGGAGCUUGCGGUGAGCCGAGAUCGUGCCACUGCACUCCAGCCUGGGCGACAGAGCGAGACUCCGUCUCAAAAAAAAAACAGGGUGGGGUGGGGGGGAAAUAAUAGUACAUACUCAUAUUUACCUGUAUCUAUAUAAAACACACUAUCAAGGAUUCACAAGAAACUAAUACAAAUGAUCACCUUAUAGAUGGUAUGUAUUGGGGGAUACUGAGGUGAGCAGGGUAUAAGUGGGGCAAGACUUUUCAGUGUAAACUUCUUUUAAAUUUUAUUUUGAUUUUUGAAUAAUGUAAAUUAACUGUCAAAUAAUUAAAUUAAAAAUAACCAAUUUAUUAACAAAA
rnacentral:lncRNA from 10 species